rnacentral:rRNA from 1 species
UGAACUGAAGAGUUUGAUCAUGGCUCAGAUUGAACGUUGGCGGCAGGCCUCAUACAUGCAAGUCGAACGAGAAAGGCCCUUCGGGGCCGAGUAAAGUGGCGGACGGGUGAGUAAUGCGUAGGAAUCUACCCGGUAGUGGGGGACAACUCGAGGAAACUCGAGCUAAUACCGCAUACGAUCUUCGGAUGAAAGCGGGGGACUCUUCGGAGCCUCGCGCUAUCGGAGGAGCCUACGUUGGAUUAGCUAGUUGGUAGGGUAACGGCCUACCAAGGCGACGAUCCAUAGCUGGUCUGAGAGGACGAUCAGCCACACUGGGACUGAGACACGGCCCAGACUUCUACGGGAGGCAGCAGUAGGGAAUCUUGCACAAUGGGCGAAAGCCUGAUGCAGCCAUGCCGCGUGUGUGAAGAAGGCCUUAGGGUUGUAAAGCACUUUCAGUGGUGAAGAAAUCCCGCGCACUAAUACUGCGCGGUCUUGACGUUAACCACAGAAGAAGCACCGGCUAACUCCGUGCCAGCAGCCGCGGUAAUACGGAGGGUGC